ensembl:lncRNA
AGCCAAUGCCAGCCCUGAAGGUGGUGAGAGAAGCUGGAACCCAACAGGAACUGUGAUCUCGCAGCUUUCAUGGCCAGAACCGGCCUCCAGCCUGAAGCAAGGUUCCUGCCCUGAGCACUCAGUACCUGCUGGGCACACUGCACAGUCCAUAAUGUUACUGAGUCCAAGCUCGGUCUGCUCGCCGCAUGACAGGUCCGGCCAGGCAUCGAAAGCUGGACGUCCGGGUAGAUGAUGGCAGAAAGAGUCCUAGAGCACCAUCCUAUCGGGGUCUGGAUGCCAGUUUCUUUUAGAGAACAGAGAGGGAGAGGAGGUGCAUGGGAUCUUAGCUCCCCAAGCAGGGAUCGAACCUGCAUCCCCUGCCUCGAAAGGCGAAGUCUUAACCUCCCUGGACCACCGGGGACGUCCCUAGAUGGCAUUUGCAUCUCAAGGUUCAACUGGGAAAGGAUCUGCUUUCAGCCUCAUUCAGC